GUGGGGGCAGAAAGCCGCAGCGGGAGAAAGCCGCGGCUGUGGGGGCAAAAAGCCAUGGCGGCGGGGGCAAAAUAGUGGAAAUGGGGUAGAAGGCCGGCACGGCUUGGCAUUGCUGGAGUGUGAUGUGAUAGGAAAAGUGCAGCCGAAGACAAAAAAAGAUGUGCUGUCAUCUAUAUGAUCUCAGUAUUUUAAAAAUCAGCUUCCAGCCCAUAUGGUGGCUCAUGCUUGUAAUACCAGCAGUUGAAGAGGCUGAAAUGAGAGGAUUCUUUGCACCCAGGAGUUCAAGAGCAACCUGGGCAACGCAGCAAGACCCAGUCUCUAUCAAAAGUUAAAAAAAAAAGGUCGGCAUGGUGAUGUGCACCUGUUGUCCUAGCUAUUUGGGAGGCCAAGGUGGAAGGAUUGCUUGAGCUUGGGAGGUUGAGGCUGCAGUGAGCAGUGAUUGCACCACUGCACUCCAGCCUGGGCAACAAAGCAAGACCCUAUCUCAAAAAAUAUAUAUAAUAAAAAUAAAAAUCAGCUCUCA
rnacentral:lncRNA from 1 species